UUGUGUAUAUCCUCAUUGUACUUAUUUUAUAAUAAUCAGGGUAGGCUAAACAUGCAUUAUAAUAAGACCCAAAUCUGCACUUGUCCCUAAAUCUAGUUCUUUACCUAUCUCCAUCUUGUCUGGUAAUAAAU